rnacentral:pre_miRNA from 1 species
UCUUAUAGAUGAGCAAAGAAAGUGGUUUCUUGAGAUGGAAUCUAUUCCUUAUGCAGACGCUGUGAA